CCAAACUGAGCAAAAUAUGUAAUUUGGUGUAGUCCAUGAUAUUUAUAUGGCCAAAAAACAAGAGGAAAUUCCAAUAGCUUGUAAUGUAAAUCAAUGAGAUAGCUCUAGAACAAAGAGUGGACCUGGAGAACUCAUCCGCAAUCUAAAGAAACAACUAUUACUAAACUAAACCUAAAGCAUGACUCGACUGGAACCGGCACUUCAGCGCUCAGAAAGUCGCUCUGUGAUAGAAAUGCAGAGCAGAAGAGGGAGCGCCAACACAAGCAGACGAGGAAGCAUCAGCAUGAGCAGAAGAGGAAGUGUCAGCCAACACACAGGUGAGAUUUAACCCUGUAUAGCCUUACAUAUGAAAUGAUAAUCAGAAAAUUGAAGAAAAAAAGGCCCAAACUGAGCAAAAUAUGUAAUUUGGUGUAGUCCAUGAUAUUUAUAUGGCCAAAAAACAAGAGGAAAUUCCAAUAGCUUGUAAUGUAAAUCAAUGAGAUCUUUAUAAAAGUAAACAGACUACUUGCAUAAAAAGCAUUUAAAUAUCAGUUGUCACUUUAUAUUUAAAAAUAUGUCUUAGUGAGAUUUAAUCAUAGUUUCAAAACAUUGCAUUUAAUGCAAUGCAAUACAAUGAUGUCAUGUCUUCCUCAAACAGACACUAGAAGGGAAACAGAACAAAGCAGCAGCCGCGCCUUUUUUAAAAGGGCCAAUCGCUUCCUCUCACGGGACAGGGAACAGGAAGAUGGCAGUCCUCCCGCUCCCGUGCGCUACUUCGAGAGGGGCCACCCUCUUCCAGCCAAUCACAGUCCUGAGCGCAAAGCCACAAUCCCCUACCGAAACCCUGACCUGGGUCUCCCGUCCUAUAGGAGGCGCUCCGACAAUCUCAGCAACGAGGCAAUGAGCGGCCUCUCCCCCCAGCGACACAUGUCCUAUUCAAAUUUCAGACGCGGGGACAGCCAAUCCCGUGCAAGCCCUCGUUCCAGCAGCCCGAGAUCUACGAACGUCUCACCGCAGAGGCGAGGAGAAUCGCGCAGUUCGCCCCAUCGCCGAGGUUCCACCGGACACCGGACGUCCCACACGUCCUCUCAACAGGCUUCUGGGAAAUGCACUCCAUCACGAAGACGUGAUUCGGUGGUCACGCGCACCACGUCUCCCUCGCGAAGCUCAGGUACGAAUAAAUAUGGGGAGACCUUUAGCCCCGCCCACAAAAGAAGCCCCUCCCAGAGCUCCUACGGACACAGCUUAGAUUCUGAAAAGCUGUAUAAGAAUCUCAAAUCAAUCGUGAGUUCAGCAGAGUCAGACAUCUCCGAAGAAAGGAACGGCUGGUCGAAAAGACAUUCUGAUGUGGAAAUCGAUGGCGAUUAUAAUGAACGCAGACACAGUGGUCGCAAUAGCGGUCGCAGCAGUCGAAAGAGUGGUGCCCGCAAUACUGGAUACAACAGUCGGGAUUUCUCUCCUAAACGAGGCUAUCGUGAUGACAAAACAAGCCGCGGCAGUCGUAAUAGUGGCUACAACAGUGGAUCUAACAGCCCUGGUGCCUCAACGCCUUAUCAAGAUUACGAUGAACAUGGUAUACUAAAAAACGGUACUUCGAAAAACAAAAGCCAAAGGAAUGGUGGAUACUCAGACACCUCUGGCAAACAAUCCAGAUCUGAUUCCCGCCAUUCGCUAAGCCCCACCCACUCCUCUCUAAGCCCCGCCUCACCUGCAUCAACACCAAAUAUCUCCCAAUCAAGGCGGAGCCGGGAUCAGGUUCCAUCCCCUGAUUUGCCCAAAUCCCAAGCCUUAAUAUCAGAGACGGACAAGCCGGUCAAUGAUCGGAGCAGAAGCAACAUCAGGCGGGGCUUGGAGGCGCUAAUUCUUUCAGAGAACACCAGGUCUUCCAGCCAACCCGCAGUGCCAGAGAUGACCAUUGAGGACUAUGUGAUCAUUGCAGAUAUUCCCCGAUCGAAGCUGUACCCUGAGGAAGAGGAAGCAAUAAUAGUGAGGAGGAGACCACAGAGCCGGAGCCCACGCAGAGACAAUCAGCACAGCUAUGGGGAUGGGAGAUAUGACUGUGAGCGUGAGGUUUCAGAAGAGCGAGGCAGAGGAAGAGAAAGAGAGAGAGGAAGAGACCGCAGAGAGAAAGAACGGAGACGUCUAGACAAAGAGAUGGGAGGGUCGUCAAAAACCAACAGCACUGCAUCAGGCCAUACACAGAGGUCCAGCAAAAAUGGAGAAAGCAUUCGGAUGGUAAACGGAAAACAGAAAGGUCCAGAAGAGCCCCCUCAGAUGCAGGUAAAGUCACCUGAAGUUACACCAACGCUGAGAUAUUCGGUUUCGAGUUCAGAGGCACGUGUCUGUUUUCGCAGAACGCCAUUACAUAGUACAUUAUAUUUAGCGCCAGAUAUAAAUGUUUUAGUUAAGCUAUGA
rnacentral:lncRNA from 1 species